rnacentral:lncRNA from 1 species
CCCCAGCCCACGUCUGCUCAGCAUCCAGCACCCCCAUUGUCCUGGCCUCUUGGAAACUCCUAGGGGCUCCCAAACACCCACUCGCCAACCUUGGAAAUCUCACACACCCCAAAUUAGCCCCUAGCACCCCGGUAACCAUUCUCCAUUCUCCCCCCUCCCCCCAUCUAGCUGCCCCUCCCUGGUGCCCACCACUCACUCUUAACUCUGAAGAGGACCGCCACCCCACCUGGCGACCCAGGACCCCAACGUCAGGGACAGGGUCUGUCACCUGUUCGAGGUCACAUCCUGGGGGUGGGGUCUUCCUGCUGGCACCCAAGGGAGCCGGGCACUGAGCCCACCCUCGCCCUCUCCCGGAGCAGGCCCCCCGCCGCCAUGCACAAACACUACACCGUCCGCUUCAUCAAGGGCGCCCUGCCCCUUCGGACCCCCACCGAACACUACUUCUUGGACCCGGAGUUGGGGCAGCAAAAAGAUAUCCUGACAGAAGAUGAUGUCUACUGCAGCUGUCUGGCCAAGACCCUCUGCCACGUGCCUGUCCCUGUGACCGUGGGUUUCUAUGCCCCCUUCGGCUGCCGCCUGCACAUGAUGCUGGACAAGAUCACCGGUGAGGCUCUGUGUGUGCUGGGGGAGGAGGGAGUACGGGAAACGGAGCCCCUGGUCCCCACCCGGCCUCAGGCUUCCCCAAGCCCGCUUGCUCCCGGGGCCAGCCGGGCCCCAGUCUGUGAAGUCAGUAUUAACCAGGUCCCUCCUGACACCCACAGCCUCUGUCCCCGGGUCCCUGCUCAUUCCCUCUCUGGCCUCCUGGCCACCAGUCCCAUCCCCUCCCCUGCCAGAGCCACUCCAAGGAAUCUUCGGAAGAUACAGCUCUGGUGGGGCACCUGGGUGGCUCAGUCAGUUAAGCGGCCGGCUCUUGAUGUCAGCUCAGGUCAGGAUCUUGGGGUUGCUCAGCAUGGAGUCUGCUUGGGAUUCUCUCUCUCCCUCUCCCUCUGCUCCUCCCCCUGAUCUCUCUCUCAAAUAAAUAAAUACAUCUUUAAAAAAAAAAAAAAGAU